ensembl:lincRNA
GCCACACAUCAACGUAUUCAGUGAAAACACUUCUUUAGGAUAUGUCAGUUAUGCUGAACAAAGAGAGAAGAAUUAAUUACAUAUCUUUGCCUUAGAAUAAGAUUUUCAUUUCUAUUAAUUCUUAUAUAUAAAAUCGAACUGAUGCCUCUUGCAAGCAUCUUUUGUAUGAUUUUUCAUUGGUUUAAGCAGAGUUAGAUGUCAGAGUUCAUUUUAAUUUAAAAAAAUUUAAGCUUUAGGAUUUGACAAAUGUAUUUCUUUCAAUAUGCAGCUGUGGAAGACACUGAAAUACGUGAGCUAUUAUAUCUAUUUUAAGUAGCAAGAAUAGAAACUUCAAAAUAAUUACAUUUCUAUAGCUAAUGCUUGAAGAUAGUUUAAUGUGGUGGUUGGAUGCACAAACUCUGGAGAUGACUUCAUGAACUUAAAUUCUGUAUUUCUCCAUUUGUAAAAGGAGACAAUGAUAAUAUUUGCUUUUCAAGGUUUUCAUAAGCAUAAGCAUUAAAUGAAUUAAUACAUUUAACAAGGGUCUUUUUUUUUUUUUUUUUUUGUGAGGCAGAGUCUAUCGCCCUGGUUGGAGUGCAGCAGUGUAAUCAUAGCUCACUGCUGCCAUGAACUUCUGGGCUUAAGCGAUCCUCCCACCUCAGCCUCCCUGUGUGCUGAGAUUAAAAGUGUGAGCCACCAUGCCUCAUCGUAAGGGUCUUCAAAGAAACCCUAUUUCAUAAGAACCGACUGCCGAGGAAAUUCAAAACACAUCCAUGAAAGCAGAAAAUUAUAAUGUGACAAGUGAAGAAUUGAAAUGGAUUCACCCUAAAAGCAGAGCCAAAUAUCAGCCAUUGUCAUGGGCCCCUAGGAGGACUGAGUCUGGUGAUGCACGAAUACCAGAAUGCAAGUGUGGUGCAAUGACAGCAAUAACACAUGUGUGCACCUUGAAGCCAGAGGGAUGGAAACCCCAGCCAAUGCCUCUUUCUCUUUUUCAGCCAUGUUUGCUUUCCAUAUGCUGGAUGAUGUGUAUGGAUUUUCAGUGUGUGUUUCAGAGUCUUAAAAGCUCAUGCUAGCUUGCUUAACAUACCUCUAUAACUCAUGAUAUAGAACCCUAGGGAGAACUGUGUUGCAACAUGGAUGCAGUGCCUAUACUAAGGCACACUGCCAACCUGAAGACUGUCAGAGAGCAUCACUAACGGAGGUAAGCCAGUAGGGUCUAAAAAUCUUCACAGAGAGAAGGUAUGACCGGAUGAUAGUCCAUUAAAUUGCGUUGAGGUGCAGCACUAUGUUCUAAAUUGGUGUACCCCACGAAUUUAUAUGUUGAGGCCUAAUACCCAAUGUGAUAGUAUUAAGAGGUAUGGCCUUUAGGAAGUGAUUAAGUCAUAAGGUGAGGGCUUGACCCUUAUGAAUGAGAAUAGUGACCUUAUAAAAGAGGCUUGAGUGAGCUCCCUGGCCCUUUUUUGCCAUGUAAGGAUGCAGCAACAAGUCACCAUCUAUUAAGCCAAUUACCAGACACCAAAUCUACUGGUGCUUUGAUGUUGGACUUCCCAGCCUCCAGACCUCUAAGAAAUAAAUCUCUGUUGUUUAUAAAUUACCGAGUCUAAAGUACUUUGUUAUAGCAGCCUGAAUAGACUAAGACAUGCAGCAAGUGAAUAGAUCACUCACUGUAGCCUGGAUCUGUCCUUCAUUAUGACAGGGUUAUUUCUCGUACUGGACAUAGGUCACCUUUGCUAACCUCUUACAGAAAUUCUAAACUUUGUGACAGGAAAUGCAGAAGUGUGAGAGAAGAACAAGGAGCUAUGUGAAGAAGAGAGAUGGAAAUGGAUUGAGACUGUUGAAAUAGGAGAAAAUAUCUUGGUUUUGACAUCAUUUCCAAAGAAUCAUAGUUAUCAAAUAAAAAAUUUCACAAUUAUCCAAAAUUAUAAUAAGAAUUCAGUGGCUGGCAAAAUGGCUGAAUAGGAACAGCUCUGGUGUGCAGCUCCCAGUGAGAUGAACACAGAAGAUGGGUAAUUUCUGCAUUUCCAACUGAGGUACUUGGCUCAUCUCUUUGGGACUGGCUAGACAGUGGGUGAAGCCCAUGGAGGGCAAGCUGAAGCAGGGUGGGACAUUGCCUUACCUGGGAAGUGCAAGGGGUCAGGGAACUCCCUCCCCUAGCCAAGGGAAGCCAUGAAGGACUCUGACAUGAGGAAUGGUGCACUCCUGCCCAGAUACUACGCUUUUCCCAUGGUCUAUGCAACCCACAGACCAGGAGAUUCCCUCGGGUGCCUAUGCCACCAGGGCCCUGAGUUUCAAGCAUAAAACUGGGCGGCCAUCCCAAGCUAGCUGCAGGAGUUUCUUUUCAUACCCCAGUGGUACCAGGAACAUUUAAGUCUGCUGAAGCUGCGCCCACAGCUGCCCCUUCCCCCAAGUGAUCUGUCCCAG